rnacentral:rRNA from 1 species
GUCUUUUUGUUAAUAAUUUAAAGUCGAAUCUGCCCACUGAUUUUAAAUUAAAGGGCUGCAGUAUAUUGACUGUACAAAGGUAGCAUAAUAAUUAGUCUUUUAAUUGGAGACUUGUAUGAAAGAUUUAAUGAGGUAUAAACUGUCUCUUUUUUAUAAUUUGAAUUUAAUUUUUUAGUAAAAAAGCUAAAAUUUAUUUAAAAGACGAGAAGACCCUAUAGAGUUUUAUAAUUAAUUUAAUUAUAAGUUUAUAUUUAAUUUUAAAGUUAAUUAAUUUAAUUAUUUUGUUGGGGUGAUAGAAAAAUUAAAAUAACUUUUUUUUAAAAAUAAACAUUAAUUAAUGAUUAAAUGAUCCAUUUUUUAUGAUUAUAAGAAAAAAUUACCUUAGGGAUAACAGCGUAAUUUUUUUUUUUAGUUCUCAUAAAAAAAAAAGUUUGCGACCUCGAUGUUGGAUUAAGAUAAAAUUUAAAUGCAGAAGUUUAAAAUUUUGAUCUGUUCGAUCAUUAAAAUCUUACA